rnacentral:misc_RNA from 1 species
GCCCCUACAAAAGAUUGCACAAUUAAAAGUAGAUUAAAAUGAUUAAUAAAAAUCAGUGAAAAAAUCCCUAGAUAACUUAAACCCUACAAAUAACAGAGGCCAUGAUUAUUUUUCUUUUAUGAUAGCAUACCUUAUAUACAUUUAAACACAUGCCUACUCAAGGACUUACAUAUAGGAGUGGGCUUGGUUUGGUUAGGGGUUUGGGAAACCCCAGAACCGAACCAAACCUUGGUUCUUUUUUUUCCUCCCCCUCAAAACCAGAACCAAAGGUA